rnacentral:lncRNA from 1 species
UUGAUUGAGCCUAAGAAGUGGAGGCUAUAGUGAGCCAAGAUUGCACCACUGCAUGCCAGCCUGGGCAACAGAGCAAGACCCUGUCUCAAGGGAGGAAAAAAUAAAAAAAUAAAAAUAAAUUUAAAAAAAGAACACUUGAAGUUCACUCAGAUCAGGACUCAAGCAGAGAAAAGCCAACAGGAGCAACACCCCACAUUAGGGGAGGAAGACACCUGGGGAUUCACUGACUUCAGUUGUGUGAAUUUUACCCUAUGACCUUGCUUGCUUUAUGAGACAGCAGAGGUGGCCAAGGUCAAUCCUACUGCUCUGUGGUGAACUCUGCUUUUCUCUCUCGUUACCAUAGGUAAAGGGUCAUGCUCCUAUGUAAGCCUUCCUGUUCCCCAGUCAUUUGUGCACGGGGCAGGCCAUCAUCUCCUGCCUAUUCAAGGGAAUGACUAGUCCUGUCUUCUGUAUCCUCAGUCACCAACUUCUCAGUUAGUGUUGGACCAAGCCUAUGUUCAAAACAUGACUGAGACAGACUUCAAUCCAUAGAGAUUUAUUUAGCCAAGUUCCAAGGACACAUCUAGGAAAAAAUACAGGAUCACAGGAGCAUCUGCGCCUUCUACUUUUUCCAAAGAGGGUUUUGGGAACUUCAAUAUUUAAAGGGGAAACAGCAAGCAGGAGAGGAAAAAAAGCGAGGAAGGGUAGGCAGUGACAGAUGCUCCCAUUCUUGUGAAGCUCUGUUUACCCUAGUAAAUCUGCAUUUUACAUGUGAAAAGAGGGAGUAGAGGAAAUAGUCAAUAAUGCGUUCCUCUCAGGAUAGGCCCACGUGGAUUUUUAAUCUUGUCCUUGCCUUGUGAAGAUAAACUGGUAACUGACAUUGUCAGGGUGAGAUUCAGCAGAACUCAGUUUUAGGACUAACUUACAGAGGAGCUGUGUAUCCUGAAGAUUCACCGACUGGCAAGGAAUUUCCUUGGGAGCAAUGUGUGAGGGAGGCCAUCUGAGGAGAUCUGUGGCUUUCUUUUGUUGCGGGAACCUGGCUUAUGGAUGAAUCUACGACACAGGAUUGUGAAAUUACAGCUCUUUGGGAACAAAAGGAAGGCAGUAUUGCAUGACUUAGUUUCCCAGCUUCACUUUCCCUUUGGCAUGGUGAGUUUGGGGUCUUGAGAGUCUAUUUUCUUUCACACCCAUCAGCACUGUUAAGUAAGCAGGAAGACAACCUGAGGUUGUCUCUUUACUUUGAGUUCCUACAUAAUAAAUUGCAGCCUAAUUUAGUACAUAAACCCAAACCUAAUUUAGGAGUAAAUUUUUUGUAGCAGAUAGCCAGAUUUCAGCCAAUCACAGGCUUCCAGCUAACAAGACUAUGCCCAAAUAAGGCAAAUGCCUCAUCACAUGAUGCUCAAAUAAGGCAGCCACCUAGGCGAGGCCAAUCAGGUAACUUUUCUACUUUGCUUAAUUGUUCAGCCUGUGCAAAUUUGCUGCUUAUGACUGCUGAGCAGAGCUGUCCAAACCUCUUCUGGUUUGGAGUGCUGCCUUAUAUAUGAAUUGUUCUUUGGUCACAUAAAAUUGGUUAAAUUUAACUUCUCUAAAGUUUUGUAUUAAAUUGUAUGUAAAACAUUGGUAGCACAAUUUGGAUUCAGAUACCCAAAUAUUGACUAUGAUAAUGUAAAUAAUCCUUAAGCAGACUGAUUUACAAAGGCCUGAACAAGUUUGAUAUUCUGAAUAUUCACUUCUUCUGAUGAAAAAAUUGCCAAGACCUUACAUUUGGCAGGAAAAAAAAUGUGUGUUGGUUAAAUAAGUUAUGUUAACAACAAGAACAUUACCACAAUUAGAAAAUUCUUGCUAUGCCAGGCGCUAUGAUAAACACAGCUUUCUACCUGUUUUAAUCCUGAAAAAUUUCUAAUAAAUAUGUAUUUAAUAUUAUUUGUGUUUAAUAUUAAGUGUAUUUAAUAUUGCCCCUGUUUUGUGAAUUAAUGCAUCAGUAAACUGGCUUGCAAUGGUGAUGUAUUCUAUAAGGCAGCCAUUGUUGUCAUAAUGCUACAUAACACUACCAGAAUUUCAGUUGCUUAUAAUUCAAGUACUUAUUUUUCUUGUCCAUAAUCUGUGAAUGCUGCUGAAAUCAGCUAGACUUUGCUCCAGGAUGAGGCAUUGGUCCAAUUCUGUUCCAUCUUUCCACGCGUCUUUCAUCAGGUUAUUAGGAAAGAGUACACUUCACUGGCUGCUCUACUGGGAGGCUUUAUCUCCAUUAAGUGAACCACAAAGAAAAAAAGAAGAGAAGAGUUUUACUUCUGUCGUCUGGUGAUACAUUGCUUUGGUGAAUACAAGAAACCACAGGAUAAGCAACAGGGCUCUUUGAUAAAUUCCACAGGCUCUCCUGAUAGGGCAGCCAAGUCUUUUCCCAGUAGCCAGCCCUUUGCACUAAAACAUGUGGAUUUUAUUUCUAUGGAUGUUGUGAGUGUGGACCUAAACUUCUCUAAGAGAACUUGUAUUUCUCAAGCCUAAAGAUGUAUUGCAUUUUUUUGUAUUUGUAUUUGAUCCACAUAAAGAAGGGGGAAAAAAGUUUGUGUGUGUGGAUAGCAUUCCAAGAAGGAACUCUAGCCCCAGGAAAGCUGCUAUUUCUGCUCUUCUCCAGCUACCUGCCAACAAUUUGUCCUCAAAAGAGGCUCUUUCUGACUAUUUACAGAUCUGUCACUUACAGAUUGGCAAUUUUCAUGCAUUUCAUUCUGCUUUGCGUUACUUCAUACUGGCAUCAUCUUUAUCAGAAGGAUAUAUAAAUAUAGAUAUAUGGAUGUCGUUUGUCUUCCCUUUCUCCACAUUAACAUAUUCCAUGAGUGCAGGAAGUGAAAUGGCAUCUUUAUUUCAUUACUCUCUGGUCCAUAAUACAUUCCCUGGCACAAAGGGAACACUUAAAUACUUAACUAUCAAAAUAAAAAAAUAAAUAAAAUCACUGGAUAUGGAA